rnacentral:lncRNA from 1 species
GUAUUUUGUUCAAAAUAUACGCUGCAAUCUGGAGAGUAAAUCCCUAGAAGAAGAUCGAAAGAUCCAUGAAGUAUAUCAUGGACCGCACCAUAUCUAAUAAGAUAUGAUUCUUCCUUUCCAUAAUGUCAUUUAAUUAUGGAGUGUAAAUAGAUAUCCAUUCUAAGAGAAUUUUAUUAUUUUUAAGAUGAUCAAAAAGUUCACUAGUUAAGUAUUCAUCUCCUCGAUC